AAGGACUCGUUACAAGAGUGGUUUGAGUGAAGUCAGCUGAUCAAAACACUAGCUUGUUUCAUCCUAAGUUAUACUGUCUCAGAAGAGCCUCUUUGUUUCUACUUUGUACAUAGCAAGACUUAAUUUUACCCUCAUUUAUAAUUAAUUUUCUAAAACAAACCACCUUUGGAGUUGUUGCUUUGUUUGGCAUAUCCUGAAGAGUGUAAAGAUAGCAAUGUAUGUGAAUAGAUGUCACAUGUGCUUUCCAGAAAUAAGUUGGGGUGUGGCUGUGAAGUCACAGUUGAGCACUGACAUUGCCUCACUUCCUGCUCCUUGCUCUACUCUCCCUCUGGAGCUUUCGGCACACAGGGUCACCCCUGAUGCUGGUCAUCAUCAUUGCUAUGGGGAACGAAUAGCAUUUUGAUUUCUCAGCCCUGACUGCUAGGAAGUAUGUGAUUUAAGAGCACUUUAAUGGGAGGAAUGAUGAGCAGAAGACAAAACCACCCUAACCUGAGAGAGGAAAAGAUACUUUGCUUUUGUUUUUUCACAAUUUGUCUUCUGUAUUCCUUGUCUAAUCUGAAAAAUAAGCUGUUGUGAGGUCAUGCAAGACCCAUCUUAGAAUUCUUCCCAAGAACACAUCAAGGUUCGUCAUUGACAGCUUUGACACUGAAGAAAUUGUCUGAUGAACACCAAUGAAUUUAUGUUAACUCCUGUGGUGCCGAGAAGAUUUAUUAAGCUGGCACCACUAUCAAGCCCCUAAACUAAACUUCCUUUCCAUAUCUG
rnacentral:lncRNA from 1 species